GUGAUGUGAUACGAAAACCUAAAGGGAUAAAUAUUUCAGAGAGGAUAUCGAGCUCUGUGGUUGGAAAAAUCAAGGGCUCAACAACGCCUUGGCCUGAAGCUGGGGGAAACUGAGGCAAAGCAUGGAUGGGACACAAAGCUCUUCAGCAAUUCUUCAUCAGAAGCAUCAUCCCCCAGGCAGCAGCGAAUCUCCUGCCAGGCACCAACCCUCCAAGGCUGAGGAAUGAUCCCCCAAAGAAGCCCCACAGCACUGAUAUUCCAGAGGAACCUCUGGAGCACCUGCCCCAAGCUGCUGGCACCUCCUCCUGCAGGAUGGGAACACCAGGAGGGACGAGGCUUGGAAGGAAGGGAACGAGGCUGAGAAGACCUGGGAGGUUUGAGGCAGUAAAUACUCCUGGCUGCUCUGAUGAGGUUCAAGAUUUACCGAGGAGAAAAUGCAGAUCACUGUGGUUUUAUCAGAAGGAUUUGGUUUCCUACUGGAGGAGGUGAUGGCUGCCAAAAAGUGGGGCCACUGAGGGGGGUCUGGCAAAAGCAAUUUCAUUUGGUGUCAUUUGGCCUCCAUGAUUUUAUGCCUUGCAUGGACGUUCCCAUCCCUGGAGGGACUCAAAGCCAGGUGGAGGUGGCACUUGGGGACAUGGGCUGGGUGAUCUGGGUGGGGUUUGGAGCCCACCCUCGGGUCACUGCCUCCCAACAGCUCCUGCAGGAUGCGUGGCAUUCACUGAGGUGACAGAAACCUGUGUGGGCAUGAACAACUGCGCUUCAAACCAAAUAAAUCCAUUUUAGGCUGUACACAGCAUUUCUCCUGCCCGGCCAUCAGCUCAUUAGGGCUCUGCUCGUUUGUUCCACUGCACACCCAUUACUGCAAGCUGAGGAGAUCGGUGCUGGCACAGCCUUCCUCUGCAGUCACCUCUUGCUAAAACCCUUUUAUUUCGGCUGUAACUUUUUUUUCUCUGCCUUUAUUGCAGCUGCCAGGAUGCACUGCAGCUGCCAAUGCCCCGUUGAUAGGACUGGGGUUGUUUGCACGGAGAGAACUCUGCCCAAACUCGCUGUAAAACCAGGACAGGGGCAUUGUUUUCUGGAGCACACAGACAUGAAAUUUGAUGGCAGCACUUCCAGCUUCAUUAAGUUCUUUCCAGGGCCUGAUAAAAGCGGCAUUCAUGGAAAAGGCUUUUGGAGGAGAAGUUGGGUUGUUUGUUUCAGUGGGAGCAGGGGGCACAGCAAGAAGGAAAUAACAUUUAUUUCAUGCACAGGCAAUGGGUGAAGCUCUCUAACGUGAGGCACAAGAAACGGGAGCAUUUUGCAGGAUUUUUACAUCUCGCAAGCCUUGCCCCGUAUUCACUCACUCCAAACCUAAAAAUAUUCUUGGUGUUCAUUCAUUUAGGCGAAGUUACGAAGGCCAGGAGAGGGAAAAGUGAAUCACUGGGGAUCCAGAGAGCUGCCAUCAUUUCCAGAGUCAUGCAAAGCAUGGACUCAUGGAGAAUCUGACAGCUUUCCAGGUCUCUCACCAGGGGGAGGGUGGUUUAAGUGCUUUACAAGAUUGCUCUCAAAGUUGUUGGAUGAUGUGUGAUAGAAGCAAAUCUGGAGCUCCCAAAGACGGGGGGUAGUAAACAUAAUUCUGUUUAGUGUUCUGCAGCUCCACAAAAGGAUUUGUUGAUUCCCACAGUGGUUACAUUGAUUUUAUACCUUUCUGAGCACACAAAAUAGCAAUUAGUCAAUGCUGCACAUUGCAUUUCUGACAGGUAUAAAAUUAUAGUGCCAAUUAUUUUGCACAGGUUGAUGAACAACAGUAGGGGUUUCUGAACAGUCUCUAAGACAGUGCUGGCAGAGAAAUCUGUCACUUCGGUGUUUGAAAGGUGUGACUGUAAUUUCCAAUACAAUUGAAUAAAAAUCUUGGUGAUGUGUGCAUGCUGCACAGUUAUUAUAAUGAUGGCCUCCUCUUUAACUGACACAUAAUAACAUUUGUUAAAUUUUAACCACUGCAGAGUAAUUUAGUAGUAUCUGAGGUCUCUCUGACUUUAUCCUUCCCAGAGGAAUAAUGUAAGGAGUUCUGAGCUUCCAGUUUGAGGGAAAUAAAUCUGUAUCACCCGACCACAGAAAAUCUUUACCUGUUUGUGGCACUUAUUUCACUUCCAGGCACCUGAAACAGAACAUUUU